UAACCCAGAAUUUUGUACUCGAUGGAUGACAGCUACAUUACACGAAUGUCUUUAUGUUGUAAAUAGCCAUUGUUUGGAUGUGGAAGGCCUUUUGGAGGUGACCUGGCUGGAGGCGUCUCAGGAGUCCUGGCUGCAGGGUUUUCGGGAGUCUCGUCUGCUUUCCCAAAGCGGGCGUCCAAGACAGAGGUGCUCCAGAGAGGAGGAGGAAGAGGUGGGACUCGAACUCGCGGCCCCUCCGCUCCCAUGGCAACCCGCGCCCCACCUCCAACUGCCCGCGAGACCGGGGCCGGAAGUGACGCGCGGCACAUCCGGGCCACGUGAGCAGGCGCGGGGAUUGCGAACGCCGCGGAGGCCUGCCGGUCCGAGCAUGCCCAAGAUCGUGCUGAAUGGCGUCACGGUGGACUUCCCGUUCCAGCCGUACGCGUGCCAGGAGGCGUACAUGUCCCGGGUGCUCGAGUGCCUGCAGAAGAAGGUGAAUGGCAUUUUGGAGAGCCCCACAGGUACAGGGAAGACAUUGUGUCUCCUGUGCUCUACACUAGCUUGGCGGGAGCAUUUUAAGGAUACUAUCUCGGCACGGAAAAUUGCACAGCGCAUGGAUGGAGUGGAGCUCUUUCCUGACAGACCCAUGGCGUCCUGGGGCAGUGCUGCCACAGAUGCUGAUAUCCCAGCUUAUUACACCGAUGUCCCUAAAAUAAUUUAUGCCUCCAGAACCCAUUCGCAGCUUGCACAGGUCAUUAGUGAAUUAAAGAAUACAGUCUACAGGCCAAAGGUAUGUGUGUUGGGCUCCAGAGAGCAGCUUUGCAUCAACCCUGAAGUUAAGAAGCAGGAGAGUAAUCACAUGCAGAUCUACAUGUGCCGAAUGAAGGUGAUGUCCCGCUCUUGCCAUUUUUACAACAAUGUGGAAGAAAAGAGUACAGAGAUGGAACUGACAGACUCCAUCAUGGAUAUCGAGGACUUGGUUAAAAAGGGAAACAAGCACAGAGCUUGCCCUUAUUAUUUAUCUCGGAGCCUGAAGCAGCAAGCUGAUAUUAUAUUUAUGCCGUACAACUAUUUAUUGGAGUCAAAGACCCGGAGAUCACACAAUUUAGAUCUCAGGGGGACUGUGGUAAUUCUGGAUGAAGCUCACAAUGUGGAGAAGUUGUGUGAAGAAUCAUCUUCAUUUGACUUGACUCCCUAUGACCUGGCUUCAGCUAUGGAUGCUAUAAAUUUAGUACUGGAAGAACAAGCUAAAGUAGUUCAACAGAAUGAAAUCAAUGCUGAAUUCAAUAUGGAGGUGACCAGCUCAGGUUUGAGCAUGGAGCUUGAAGAUAUAGCAAAGAUAAAGAAGAUUCUUCUCCAGCUGGAAAAUGCUAUCGAUGCUGUGGAGCUGCCAGGCAAUGAAAAGGGUGUCACUAAGGAAGGGAGCUACAUCUUUGAUCUGUUUGCAGAGGCCCAGAUUACUUUCCAGACAAAAUCGUCUCUCUUGGAGUCACUGGAACAGAUUUUACAGUUUCUAUCAGGCCGUACUGGGAUAUUUAUCAACACAUCUGGAUUGCAUAAACUUUCAGACAUUAUCCAGACAGUGUUUAGCACUGAUCCUCCAGAAGGCACAUCAAGCACCAACCCAGUUCAGUCUGUAUCGAAACAUUAUAAGGUGCACAUUCAUCUGGAUACCAGCAAUCAGAGAAAGAAGCAGAGGACAGACCUAUGGAGUGCAUCUGUUACAAAAAAGCAAGGGAAGAUCUUGAGCUAUUGGUGUUUCAGCCCUGGGUACAGCAUGCAUGAGCUGGUUCGUCAGGGAGUCCGGACAAUUAUCCUCACUAGCGGGACUCUCUCCCCACUCUCCUCCCUCACAAUGGAAAUGCAGAUACCUUUCCCUGUUUGUCUGGAGAAUCCUCAUGUCAUUGAUGAACACCAGAUCUGGGUGGGGAUCAUUCCAAAGGGACCAGAUGGAGCUGUGCUCUCCUCUUCCUAUGGAAAAAGGUUUUCUGAGGAAUAUCUAUCUUCUCUGGGGAAAACUAUAGGUAAUCUUGUCCGAGUUAUACCAGAUGGGCUCCUGGUGUUCUUCCCUUCAUAUCCGGUCAUGGAUAAAAGCCUGGCACAUUGGAGAGAACACGACUUUGCCAGAAGAAUCGAAGAAGUAAAACCGAUGUUUGUGGAACCGAGGAACAAAGGCACCUUCAUGGAGGUAAUGGAUGCCUAUUAUGACAAGAUUGUCUGUCCGAAGUCCAGCGGAGCUGCUUUCUUGGCAGUAUGUAGGGGAAAGGCCAGUGAAGGCUUGGACUUUGCAGAUACAAAUGGACGAGGUGUCAUCAUCACUGGACUUCCAUUCCCCCCUUGCAUGGAACCAAGAGUUGUUUUAAAGAUGGACUUCCUAGAUGAAAUGAGAAAAAAAAGUGGAGGUUCACAGUUUCUGUCUGGGCGCGAAUGGUACAGCCAGCAAGCUUCUCGGGCUGUGAAUCAGGCCAUCGGCAGGGUCAUCAGACACCGCCACGAUUAUGGUGCCAUAUUCCUCUGUGACAACAGGUUCUUAAACAAUGACAUCAGAGGCAAGCUGCCUUCCUGGGUCCGCCCCUACGUCAAGGUGUAUGACAACUUUGGACACGCAGUCCGAGCUGUCUCCCAGUUCUUUCGAGUUGCUCAGAAAAUUGUGCCUCCACCGCCAACCCGGAACUCCUCUUGCGCUAGUACUAUAUGUGAAGGGGACCCAACAUCAUCUGCUUCAGCUGAGCUUAGCCUCCCUCUCAAAAAAGCCAGGAAUUUGGAUGAUCACGUUCCUAGUUUAAAGAGGAAAAUAACAGAUGUCAUUCUUCUGUUGAGCAGAAGGCAAGAUUUGUCAGCAAGUGGGGAUGGAGCAGCCAGCCUGUGCAUGGAGUAUGAGCAAGGGCCUGUCUCCUCCAGGCAGCAGCAAGUUGGGCUUCUGGAUGCGUUGGAGUACAGUGAGAAGAUCAGUGAAGGGGCAGAGGAGAAAGAUGGCUUGUCAGGGGAGGAAAAGGCAAAACAUCUGUCAACACUCUCUCUUCAGUAUGAGAAGAGAUUAGCAGAUGAACAGAAAGGAGGAAAGAAGAAAAUAAAGAUAGUCAGCAAUCCGCAAGCUGACAGUGGAAAGAUGACCGUUCCAACUGAGCCGAAGAAGACCAGAGCUACGUCAUUCAUUGCGACAGUGAAGGAAUCACUAAGCCAGCUAAACUAUGAUGUCUUCUCAGAGGCUCUGAAGCAGUAUAAAAUGACUGAUGACUUCAGCACCAUGUUAUCUCAGAUGAGUGGUGUUUUUUUGGAAGACCAGAGAAAGCAUAUGCUGUUGCGAGAAUUUUACCAGUUUGUCCGACCUCAUCACAAAAAGCAGUUUGACGAAGCCUGCCGUAGCCUGACUGGAGAAGGUUGUGGCUACAAACCCGAGCACAGCCUCCAACGAGGGGAGAGAGAGAUGAUGGCCAAGGAAGCAGAGGGAAAACAGUGCCAGGAGAAAACAGCAUCCUCGGAGGGUUCAUCCAGCCAGCUCAGCUCGGAGCUGCACUUGAACCAAGGAGGAUCCCACUUGACUUCUGGGCUGAUCAGCACAAAUACACUUUCCCGAGCAAUUGCAGGAGAAAAUCACAUCCGCGUCCAAAGUGAGGUGGCUGGAAAGGGGUCAGGUUCUCUGCAGGAGAGCCGCCACCAGCUUCUCAAAACCACGUACCUGAGUGAUGUGAAGAAGUCUUUGGACAAAAACGAUUACAACAGCUUCUUUGCUGCGUUGUGCACGUACAAAAAGACGGACAACUACGAUGCCAUGGUGGCAGUGAUAGCUGCCAUCACCACCGAAAAGCCAGAGCUCUUCUACCUCUUGCAAAGGUUCCACAUGUUUAUACGGCCCCAUCACAAAGAGCAGUUCAGGCAGUUGUGUAGAGAUCUGACUGGAACAAGCUGCGGUGAAGGAGAGAAGAAGCUGCAGCAGCAAGGGGCAAGGAGCCCUCUGGACUUGGAGAGCGCGAGUGCCAAAGCAGAAAACGGUGGAACUCCGGUGGAAGCAGUCAGCUGCCCCCCAGCUGCUUCCAAGAGGGAGAUGCCAAGAAAAACCCAGAGCAAGAUUUCCUCCUUCUGCUGCAGCCAGAACAGCAAACCUGGAUCACAUAAAGCAGAGCUGUUGAAAGGAGCCGGUGACAUAAGAGCAUCUACCAGCUCAGACACUUUGCAUACAUUGUCCCGUGAUACAGAGCCAUAGUGGGGCUGACUUAUGCCACAGGCUGGACAAGAGGAUAACAGCUUAAAGACCUGCCUGAGCCUUUUCCAACUGUUGCUGUCUCCCAAGGCACCUAGAAGUAGCAAGCUCAGUUUGACAAAGCUUUUCCAUUCAUCUCAACCAUGUUUAAUGCUGAAUUACAUUUCAUUCUUUCAUUGAAAGUCUGUUGUGAGGCAACUUUGUGCUUCUACCUGCUCUGCUUAUCUGGCUUAGAUCUCCAGCUUGACUGAAGCUGAUUAUCCCUUGAAUGAAAUAAUGAAAAUAGUAUUGCAGAGCAUCCUUGGCAAUAUCCUGGACUUCCUUUGGUGGGCAACUCUGGGCAGUGGCCAAAAGCAGUUUGCCCAGGGGAAUCUCUGGCUCCAUCCACAAAAAAAUGAAGUUCAGAUUCCGGGCAUUUGGGGCAGGGGGAAGGAUGAGGGUGAUUUAUCAGAGAUGCUCUGGGCCGGGCAGCUGCAAAGACAACAGAAAAGGAAGAGACAUCCCACCAUGAAGCAACACACCAGGGUCUACAAGCAGGUGUUGGGAAAUGAAUUCAUCUUUUCAUCCAUGCCAGUUCUUUCAUGUGCCAGAGAAGCAGUGUCUGUCAGGAAGAGGGCACUGAAAUACAUUGGUUAAGUGUGAAAGAUCCCACAUAGAACUCAGAUUUCACUGUUCCUAUUGCAGGCCCGAAAAGCUGCCUUGGCACGACCAGUGUCAUCUCUCCUUCUCGGUAAACGAACGCUGUAAGCGAAACGUGCACCCGUGCAACAAGGCACAAAACUCCUGGAAGCUCCUGUGGUAGGCAAAAGAACGGAGAUAGCUGUGGACUGUCGGAAAACGAGGUAGACUAAAGGAGCGAAACAAACCCAGACCAGUGCCGUUUGCAAAACAAAUGCAAGGAUACCUCAGCAGGGCAAAAGUAAGGUUGCAUAGUGCCCACUGUGCCGUGCUGAUACUAAGAGGAAGCAUCUAUCCCAAAUGGUCUUCUGGUCAUAAUGCCACAGGCAGCGGAGGCAUCAUGUCAGAGCUGGCUACAGGGCCAGCAGGAAAGGAUAUUGGAUUCUCUUUUCAGGUGGAAACAAAGCAAAGUGCAGGGUCGCUUAAGUUCCCUGGGUCACCACCUCUGGAUUGCUUGCGGUGCUUUGUAGCCCCGUCCACUUUUUUAAGAACUCAACGGUCCUGAGAAAUCUCUCUUCUCCCUUGCAUACUGGCAGGGAAGGAUGGAAGCAGCCUUGUCCUCAAUUACAAUAAAAGGGGGGUUUCAUUUCAUAUUUGUUUUCAAUCACCUUACUCUUCUGUAGUUUCUGCUUGAGGUUUGGUGCCUUGAAUGUUGUUCUUGGCAACUGCCUCCUCCCAGGUGCUCCCAGAUCCUGGAAAAUCCUCAGCAGCAGUACCCGCACCGAGGAGACUAAGCUGGACACGUGUGCCACCCCGUGUCUCCAUGCCAGAAUAGGUAUUCCUGGAAAAGAUGAUUCACUUUCCUGUGGUGCCCAACAAACCAUUGCCUAUUCGUAGAACAUACCUCAGUGGCUGUGCAGAUGGAUGGAUGGACUUACUCAUGGUUUCCUGUCUCUGCUCCAAAGCCUCUGUCAUGUGGUUGUCUAAGCAGUGCUUCUUGGGCACUCACACAUUUCUGUUGGUUCUGUACAGUCUGAUGCUUGGAGUUUCAGAUGGAGAGGAUGAACCUACUAUUCCCCUUCUGUCCAGCGAGCUGAUUUUAAUCUUGGAGAAAGAGACUUUUUGCCAUUUUCACUCUCUGGGAGCUGUUGCAUCCAUUUCAGCUAACUUAAAUGAUGCCCGUUUUAAAAUGUUAGUGGAUGUUAUAAAAUCAAUAAAACUAGUUUUUACA